rnacentral:tRNA from 2 species
GGAUGGGUGGCCGAGUGGUCGAAGGCUCUAGUCUUGAAAACUAGCGUACGGGUGACCGUACCGUGGGUUCGAAUCCCACCCCAUCCGC